UCUGGGACAAGCCCUGGAAACGGGGUCUAAUACCGGAUAAUACUUCUGCCUGCAUGGGCGGGGGUUGAAAGCUCCGGCGGUGAAGGAUGAGCCCGCGGCCUAUCAGCUUGUUGGUGAGGUAGUGGCUCACCAAGGCGACGACGGGUAGCCGGCCUGAGAGGGCGACCGGCCACACUGGGACUGAGACACGGCCCAGACUCCUACGGGAGGCAGCAGUGGGGAAUAUUGCACAAUGGGCGAAAGCCUGAUGCAGCGACGCCGCGUGAGGGAUGACGGCCUUCGGGUUGUAAACCUCUUUCAGCAGGGAAGAAGCGCAAGUGACGGUACCUGCAGAAGAAGCGCCGGCUAACUACGUGCCAGCAGCCGCGGUAAUACGUAGGGCGCAAGCGUUGUCCGGAAUUAUUGGGCGUAAAGAGCUCGUAGGCGGCUUGUCGCGUCGGUUGUGAAAGCCCGGGGCUUAACCCCGGGUCUGCAGUCGAUACGGGCAGGCUAGAGUGUGGUAGGGGAGAUCGGAAUUCCUGGUGUAGCGGUGAAAUGCGCAGAUAUCAGGAGGAACACCGGUGGCGAAGGCGGAUCUCUGGGCCAUUACUGACGCUGAGGAGCGAAAGCGUGGGGAGCGAACAGGAUUAGAUACCCUGGUAGUCCACGCCGUAAACGGUGGGAACUAGGUGUUGGCGACAUUCCACGUCGUCGGUGCCGCAGCUAACGCAUUUAAGUUCCCCGCCUGG
rnacentral:rRNA from 1 species